CCUCCCUCUUGCUGCGUGCUUAACACAUGCAAGUCGAACGGAAAGGCCCUGCUUUUGUGGGGUGCUCGAGUGGCGAACGGGUGAGUAACACGUGAGUAACCUGCCCUUGACUUUGGGAUAACUUCAGGAAACUGGGGCUAAUACCGGAUAGGAGCUCCUGCUGCAUGGUGGGGGUUGGAAAGUUUCGGCGGUUGGGGAUGGACUCGCGGCUUAUCAGCUUGUUGGUGGGGUAGUGGCUUACCAAGGCUUUGACGGGUAGCCGGCCUGAGAGGGUGACCGGCCACAUUGGGACUGAGAUACGGCCCAGACUCCUACGGGAGGCAGCAGUGGGGAAUAUUGCACAAUGGGCGGAAGCCUGAUGCAGCAACGCCGCGUGCGGGAUGACGGCCUUCGGGUUGUAAACCGCUUUCGCCUGUGACGAAGCGUGAGUGACGGUAAUGGGUAAAGAAGCACCGGCUAACUACGUG
rnacentral:rRNA from 1 species